rnacentral:rRNA from 1 species
AGCGAACGCUGGCGGCAGGCCUAAUACAUGCAAGUCGAACGGCUCUUCGGCGCAGUGGCGGACGGGUGAGUAACGCGUGGGAACGUGCCCUUUGGUUCGGCACAACACAGGGAAACUUCUUCUAAUACCGAAUGUGCCCGUCGGGGGAAAGAUUUAUCGCCAUUGGGGCGGCCGUGGUUGGAUUAGGUAGUUGGUGGGGUAAAGGCCUACCAAGCCUACGAUCCAUAGCUGGUCUGAGAGGAUGAUCAGCCACACUGGGACUGGGGCACGGCCCAGACUCCUACGGGAGGCAGCAGUAGGGAAUCUUGCGCAAUGGGCGAAAGCCUGACGCAGCCAUGCCGCGUGAAUGAUGAAGGUCUUAGGAUUGUAAAAUUCUUUCACCGGGGAAGAUAAUGACGGUACCCGGAGAAGAAGCCCCGGCUAACUUCGUGCCAGCCGCCGCGGUAACAC